UACAAGUGAAUAUGUUUAUAUUGUGACUUAUUAGUCAAGUAAAGAAAUUAAUGCAUUUCUCAAUUGAUUAUUGGGCAUCAGGUGAUCAUUUUAAGCUGAAUUCAGAAUCAUUCAGCCAUAGAGGAAAGUGUUUCUUUAACUCAACAUCUCUUUAUGAUCAGCCUCCUGU